rnacentral:rRNA from 1 species
GUUUGAUCAUGGCUCAGAACGAACGCUGGCGGCAUGCCUAACACAUGCAAGUCGAACGAAGCCUUCGGGCUUAGUGGCGCACGGGUGCGUAACGCGUGGGAAUCUGCCCUUGGGUUCGGAGCAACAGUUAGAAAUGACUGCUAAUACCGGAUGAUGUCUUCGGACCAAAGAUUUAUCGCCCAGGGAUGAGCCCGCGUAGGAUUAGGUAGUUGGUGGGGUAAUGGCCCACCAAGCCGACGAUCCUUAGCUGGUCUGAGAGGAUGAUCAGCCACACUGGGACUGAGACACGGCCCAGACUCCUACGGGAGGCAGCAGUGGGGAAUAUUGGACAAUGGGCGAAAGCCUGAUCCAGCAAUGCCGCGUGAGUGAUGAAGGCCUUAGGGUUGUAAAGCUCUUUUACCAGGGAUGAUAAUGACAGUACCUGGAGAAUAAGCUCCGGCUAACUCCGUGCCAGCAGCCGCGGUAAUACGGAGGGAGCUAGCCUUGUUCGGAAUUACUGGGCGUUAAGCGUACGUAGGCGGUUAUUCCAGUCAGAGGUGGAAGCC